rnacentral:rRNA from 1 species
UUUUCCGUAGGUGAACCUGCGGAAGGAUCA